rnacentral:rRNA from 1 species
GCUUGUCUCAAAGAUUAAGCCAUGCAUGUCUCAGCAUAAGCUUCAACACGGUGAAACUGCAAAUGGCUCAUUAAAGCAGUUACAAUUUAUUUGAUGGUCACUGUUACAUGGAUAACUGUGGUAAUUCUAGAGCUAAUACAUGCAUCAAAACCUGACUCUUGGGAAGGGUUGUGUUUAUUAGAUACAAAACCAAUUCAGGUUCUUCCUGAUUCCUCUGGUGAUUCAUAAUAACUUUCGGAUCGUUUACGAUGCAUCAUUCAAGUUUCUGCCCUAUCAGCUUUGGAUGGUAGGGUAUUGGCCUACCAUGGCUUUAACGGGUAACGGAGAAUUAGGGUUCGAUUCCGGAGAGGGAGCCUGAGAAAUGGCUACCACAUCCAAGGAAGGCAGCAGG